rnacentral:tRNA from 1 species
GCCUGAGUGGUGCACACAGUUAAUGUGCUCAGCUGCUAACUGAAAAGGUUGGUGGUUCAAGUCCACCCAGAGGCA